rnacentral:tRNA from 1 species
AAUUAAUGAACUUGAAUAAGUGUAUGUUUUGAAAACAUUAUAAAGAAGAAAAGCCUUCUAUUAAUUU